rnacentral:rRNA from 1 species
UACGUAGGGCGCAAGCGUUAUCCGGAAUUAUUGGGCGUAAAGAGCUCGUAGGCGGUUUGUCGCGUCUGCUGUGAAAGACCGGGGCUCAACUCCGGUUCUGCAGUGGGUACGGGCAGACUAGAGUGAUGUAGGGGAGACUGGAAUUCCUGGUGUAGCGGUGAAAUGCGCAGAUAUCAGGAGGAACACCGGUGGCGAAGGCGGGUCGCUGGGCAGUAACUGACGCUGAGGAGCGAAAGCGUGGGGAGCGAACAGG